CAAUAGUGUAUAUUAACGUUGUUGCAGUUAAAAAGCUCGUAGUUGGAUUUCUGGAGGGAGCGUCGGCCCGUAUUUACGAGUGCGUGACGUCUCUGUCCAUCCUUGCGGGAAGGCACGGCAUUGAUUUGUUGUGUCGGAUCGCAUCAUUUACUGUGAAAAAAUUAGAGUGUUCAAAGCAGGCUUUCGCUUGAAUACAUUAGCAUGGAAUAAUAAGAUAGGACUUUGGUGCUAUUUUGUUGGUUGAGCCUAAAGUAAUGAUUAAUAGGGAUAGUUGGGGGCACCUGUAUUGCGUUGUCAGAGGUGAAAUUCUUGGAUUUACGCAAGACAAACAGCUGCGAANGNGUCUGCNAAGGAUGUUUNCAUUA
rnacentral:rRNA from 1 species